rnacentral:rRNA from 1 species
UACGGAGGGUGCAAGCGUUAAUCGGAAUUACUGGGCGUAAAGCGCGCGUAGUCGGUUUUUUAAGUCGGAUGUGAAAUCCCCGGGCUCAACCUGGGAAUUGCAUUCGAUACUGGAUAGCUAGAGUUCGGCAGAGGGAAGCGGAAUUUCGGGUGUAGCGGUGAAAUGCGUAGAUAUCCGAAGGAACAUCAGUGGCGAAAGCGGCUUCCUGGACCAGAACUGACGAUCAGGCUCGAAAGCGUGGGGAGCAAACAGG